GCACCAACCAAGACAUGUGGCACAACACGAUGGAAACGCGAGCUUUGCAUUACUAAUGACAAUUAUCAAAGACAUCAUAGACAUCCAUAGCCAGCGGCUCAAUAAAUUACUGUUGGUUUCGUACCACAAGAUGUGGCACUCAUUAUUGUGAAUAAGUUAUAUAUAGCUAGGCUGAAGAAUAUACACAAUAAGUCCUUCAUGUCUAUAGUAUGUACACAAUAUACAGGCUAUUCCGUAUAAUCAUAUAAUUAUAAGAAGAUCAUACCUUGUAUAAGAACACAGAUCAGAAAUAUAACAAUGCUUUAUCCCACGAUAAAAGAUGCUUUAUACGGCAGAUGAAGGACAAGCUAUGUCCUGUAUUUAUCUUCUACUUAUUAUAUCGUAAAUUUAACAAAAAGCCUCGACAAAAUUUGAGAGUAUAAAUCGCUUGAGGAAUUCCGCUCCACUGCUCUCAACUCGAUCUAUCACGAUAAUUACCGUACAGUUACGACCAUUUACGAAGUUUAGCCGGAGUGCUCUAUUUUUUCUUUAAUUUAAUUAAGCGAAAGCGGAGUAAGUGGAAUAUCGUUAGGCAGAGGUGCGGUGGGGGAAAGGACAUGUCAAAGGCACGGUUCAGCCUUUUGAAAGAUGGUUUUUUGAAUGAUGGAUUUUAGGACAAUCAAUGGACCUUUCCCCUUAUAACUAAAAUUUUGAUCUAGGCAAAAAUUUCA